rnacentral:lncRNA from 1 species
CAUUCUUGUUGAGGCAGAGAACUGACUUGAGCGUCGGAGGGUCUUGCCGGAGCAACCCCACCUCCGGUUUAGACUUUCCUUGCAGGUCCCGAUGGCGACCGCGGCUUCCUCGACUCCAGCUUCUCCGGUGCCAGCAGAUUUUUGUACCAAUAGCGCUAGAGGAAGGGCUUGUGUCUUCAUAGUACCCUUGUUCUUAAAGGAGCGCUCAACGGGACCACCUCCGAUCAUCUUUUUCGACAUCCACUCCUCCUUCCCCCACUAGGUCUUUGCCCGAUGCCUCCCCGCAAAGCAUCCACGCGACGAUCCACGGCCUCCACA